rnacentral:misc_RNA from 1 species
UCCCCGUUACCGAGGCAGUCUGGUUAGAAAAAUACAACUAACCACGAGGGUUGCGCUCGUUGAAGGACUUAACCUAACAUCUCACGACACGAGCUGACGACGACCAUGCAUCACCUGUCACCGGUCCAACUAAAUGACCUCUAUGUUUCCAAAGAGUGCGACCGGGAUGUCAAACCCUGGUAAGGUUCUUCGCGUAGCCUCGAAUUAAACCACACGCUCCACCGCUUGUGCGGGUCCCCGUCAAUUCCUUUGAGUUUUAGCCUUGCGGCCGUACUCCCCAGGCGGGAUACUUAACGCGUUAGCUUCGCUACCGAGCGGGUCGAUACGCCCAGCAGCUAGUAUCCAUCGUUUACGGCGUGGACUAC